rnacentral:lncRNA from 1 species
AGAGGUUGCUGGGGAGCUUUGGGGAGGGCUGGUCUCUGUCACACUCCUUUCUCUUCCCCUCUGCUAACCAGGUUCCUUCUUAUCCAGAGGAGCCUGGAGGAGCUCAGGAGACCAGACAAUGGCAUCCGCUGUCCUGUCAGCAAGGCCCCAGAGAGAUCUAUCCAAACAGGAAGAACCGCCUGGUGCCCUUGGAUAUGAUAAGGCCUGAUCAGUCAACUUUUCCUUCUUUCUUCUGGUUUCAUUUAUAUUGGGAACAUCAAGAUUGAUAUGAUUCAGCUUCUCCAGCAAUAUGCCCGGUCAUUGGUAGCUGCAUAAGGAUCUCAUUUAGUCUAACAGUA